rnacentral:misc_RNA from 1 species
GUACAUUAGUGCUUGCGCACGACAAUAAAUUUCAUUACAUUCGAGUGUGUGUAAAAAUCCUCUGCCAGCCGAAGCUAGCAAGAGGCCAAAGGUGCACAGGGUAUCGGAUGAAAGUCACCGACGUGCACUUGCCGAGCCGGCCAGCACUGAAGGCGACCGAUUCACAAUCAUUAAUGAUCCUUCCGCAGGUUCACCUACGGAAA